AUUUAAGUAGUUUAAAUAAAAAUAUUAAUUUGUGGGGUUAAUGAUAUAAAAAUGAAUAUUUAUCUUAAAUU
rnacentral:tRNA from 1 species